rnacentral:pre_miRNA from 1 species
UGCAUCCUGAAACUAAUAGUAAUGGCCUUGGGGUCCCCUGUAGUUCCAUAUAUUUUAUUUAGAUAUAUAUGGAACUACAGGGGACCCCAAGGCCAUUACUAUCAGUUUCAGGAUGCA